rnacentral:misc_RNA from 1 species
GGAUCACACAAUUAGUGGGACACUUUGCAAGAUCAAGCACACUCAGCGUGAUGGUAGUGCUGUGGCUGUGCUUGAAAGUACGGGAGGCAAGGGAUCGGUGAUGGUUAAUGGGUUGACUGUCAAGAAGAGCACCAACUGUGUGCUAAAUUCGGGUGACGAGGUGGUCUUUGGUGCUUUGGGGAAUCAUGCUUAUAUAUUUCAACAACUUAUGAAUGAGGUUUCAGUUAAAGGUCUAGAUGUUCAGAGUGGUGUUGGAAAAUUCUUGCAGCUCGGAAAGAGGACUGGCGAUCCGUCUGCUGUGGCCGGGGCCUCGAUC